rnacentral:rRNA from 1 species
CCUACGGGAGGCAGCAGUAGGGAAUAUUGGGCAAUGGAGGCAACUCUGACCCAGCCAUGCCGCGUGCAGGAUGAAGGCGCUAUGCGUUGUAAACUGCUUUUAUAUAGGAAGAAAAAGACCUUGCGAGGUAGAUUGACGGUACUAUAUGAAUAAGCACCGGCUAACUCCGUGCCAGCAGCCGCGGUAAUACGGAGGGUGCAAGCGUUGUCCGGAUUUAUUGGGUUUAAAGGGUGCGUAGGCGGUUUAUUAAGUCAGUGGUGAAAGACGGUCGCUCAACGAUUGCAGUGCCAUUGAUACUGGUAGACUUGAGUGUGAUUGAGGUAGCUGGAAUGGAUAGUGUAGCGGUGAAAUGCAUAGAUAUUAUCCAGAACACCAAUUGCGUAGGCAAGUUACUAAGUCACAACUGACGCUGAGGCACGAAAGUGUGGGUAUCAAACAGGAUUAGAUACCCUGGUAGUCCACACUGUAAACGAUGAUAACUAACUGUUGGCUUUUGGGUCAAGUGGUACAGAGAAAUCGUUAAGUUAUCCACCUGGGGAGUAGCCGGNAACGGUGAAACUCAAAGGAAUUGACGGCNGAGAGAGCGAGACGACGACGAGGGAGAGG